AAAUAGAGAGGAAAGGAAGAAAAAAAGAAAAACCAAAGAGAAACAAGAAAAUUCAAAGGGAAAUUCGCGGUUUUCGACCGUUUACGCGUCUAACGGUAAGAUUUUUCGAUUUUAGCUUGAUUUCUACCUUUCCUAUGCCUUUAUUUCCAUUUAGCAUGCUUGAGGAGAGAGAUCAAAAAGUGAUAUCAAGGGCUGGACGAAAUUCUAGGGGAGAGAAAUUGAAAUUUUUAGGUUUUGAUUUUUAGUUAAAUUGAUAGUUUUAGUUAGUUAAAUGUGUUUAGAAAUUAAAUUGGGCAAGAAAUCAUUAAAUUUUCACAAUACCCACUCUUGGCUGGAUGCUCAAUGCUGUACAAUGAUGAUGAAUUGAUUUUAUUCUAAGGGAAAUGAAGAGAAAAUGAUGAAAAACGAUUAAACGUGAUAGAAAAACAAAGUAGAAAAUUAACCGAGUUAAUGUCCCAUUUUUGGCCGAAUUUUCCAAGGAAGGGAGUGAGCUGAUUUUGUUGUUUUUAGAAGGUUAUUGGCUGAUAUUUAAUGGUUAGAAAUGUUGGAGAGAGAAUGGGAUGAUUUAGAGCUAAAAUGGAGCGCGUUAGCAAUUUAUCGGGCAAAGUGCCAAAAAUAGGUUAAUACCGCGUUUAAGCCGUUUUAGGCUAUUGCAUUUCAUACCAUGCAUUAGUAUAGGAUUUAAGUUAAUUAUAUAGUGAUUUAGCAUCAAUGUGAUGAAUUGUGUAAAUUUUUGUAAUGUGUCUAGGAGGAGAGCCUUCCGGAAAAGGCAAAGAAGUCGUACCCGACGAGUAGUGAUCGGGGCGCUUAGAAAGCUUUUAGUUUGUACAAACGGUGAGUAAACUUAUUAUUAUUGUAAAUUAUCUAGAGUUUAUUUUAAAUGCCCUUUAUGUAUUUUAUGAAAUGAGAACGAGAUUAAAACGGGAUUUUUGAUGUUUUAGGAAUAAAUGUGACAAAUAAAAAUAUAUUGUAUUGAUUAUGAAAUUGAGUAAUUGGAGGCUGCAAAUUGACUUGAAAAAUAUAUAUUUUCCUAGGAAUGGCUUAUGAGAAAUGAGUAUAUGUGGCUAUAUUAUGUGAGUGCAUUGAGAAAUUUAUGUAAGUUGUUUUUACUAUGUAGGUUGGAUAAAUAAAUAAAAGCCACGUUAUACUGUCGAAAUUUUAUUAAAAUUGGUGGGUUAGUCACUGCAGUGACUGGUUUUCGUGGACUGCCUAUUAGAGGGGCACGGUAAACCCAGUUAUAUAGUUACUCCGGUUGUAGAGGCGAGGAGGGUAACUCCCGGGGUAAUAUUAGAGCUCACUUCACGUCGAACCCCCACGUGAAUGUGUAACUCGGCCAAUGCCAAGGAACGGCUAGUUUUAAAAAUAAAAAUGUGUUUCACGUGUGAAUAUUUUGACACUCUUUGUGGACUCGGUUAGAUGCCUCGGCCAAGGUAUCCCCAAGGAUUAGUUUUGGCUUGAGCCUUGUUUUAAUAAAAGACAUAAGCCUUAACAACUAUUUUGGUAAAUUACAUAUAUUUUAUGGUUUAAGAAAUAAAUUGGAAACAUUAUGAAAUGGGUUGAAAUUUGUUGUUUAAACUUUCCUCCAUUUUACUCGCCUUUAGAUAUUUAUGAUAAUGUCUGUUUACUCAUUGGGAUUGCAAAAAUCUCACCCAACUCCUUUCCAUCUAUUUCAGGUUCAGUAUAGACUGUAGAUAGCUAAUCUCAUCGAGGACUACCAUUGGAUCUGCAUUUUCCAAACCGUAGGUUCACAGUCCUCUUUACUUUUGUUUAUUCGGAGGCCCUCUUGUUAUUGUAAAUUAAAUUAAAUAUUUCGGCUUACUGUAUUUCAGUAUGUAUAAAUUUAUUUAGCUUUUACGCUAUAAAAAAAUUAUUCACGUAUAACUCUAUAAAUAUUGUUUUAUAAGAAAAUAGAAUAUUUUUCUUAAUAUUUCUUUUAUUUUCUUAUUAUAUUCAAAUAAC
rnacentral:lncRNA from 1 species